rnacentral:rRNA from 1 species
GCAGCGACGCCGCGUGGAUGAUGAAGGCCCUCGGGUUGUAAAAUCCUUUACAAGGGGACGAGGAAGGACGGUACCCUUGGAACAAGUGUCGGCUAACUACGUGCCAGCAGCCGCGGUAAGACGUAGGACACAAGCGUUAUCCGGAUUUACUGGGCGUAAAGCGUCUGCAGGCGGACAGGUAAGUUGGGCGUGAAAGCUCCGGGCUCAACCCGGAGAGGUCGUUCAAUACUGCGUGUCUAGAGGGUGUCAGAGGGGAGUGGAAUUUCCGGAGUAGCGGUAAAAUGCGCAGAGAUCGGAAAGAACACCAAUGGCGAAGGCAGCUCCCUGGGGCAUACCUGACGCUAAGAGACGAAAGCUAGGGGAGCGAACAGGAUUAGAGACCCUGGUAAGUCCUAGCCCUAAACGAUGGAUGCUGGAUGUGGGGCCAUAGCGCUCCGUGUCGAAGCGAACGCGUUAAGCAUCCCGCCUGGGGACUACGGCCGCAAGGUUAAAACUCAAACGAAUUGACGGGACCCCGCACAAGCAGCGGAGCGUGUGGUUUAAUUCGAUGCUACACGAAGAACCUUACCUGGGUUUGACAUCUAGGUGGUAGCGAAGUGAAAGCGGAGCGACCCUUCGGGGAGCCUAGACAGGUGCUGCAUGGCUGUCGUCAGCUCGUGCCGUGAGGUGUCGGGUUAAGUCCCGUAACGAGCGCAACCCUUGCCCUCCGUUAUACGUGUCAGAGGGGACUGCCGGCGGUAAGCCGGAGGAAGGUGGGGAUGACGUCAAGUCAGCAUGGCCUUUAUAUCCAGGGCUACACACACGCUACAAUGGCCAGUACAAAGGGCAGCGAAGCCGCGAGGUGGAGCGAAUCCCAGCAAAGCUGGUCGUAGUUCGG